rnacentral:lncRNA from 1 species
UACAUCUUCAAGUUAACAAGUAAAACACGCAGACAAACUGACAUCUUUGUUAAUAUCUUAUUUGUUCUGUAUAAAAUUUAUUGUAUACAAGUCUACAUAAACGUUUUAAAAAGUUUACUAAAUGGUUAUUGUUUCAUAAGUGUACAUAUGUAUGCUCGAAGUAUAUAUAGAAUCAGUACAUGAUACACAACAUGCGACAAAUAAAGGGGGGGGUAGUAAUGACAGGAAACUAAAUUAAACUAAGGCUUUGAUGAAUGUAAACUUUAAUAAAACUGGAAGUUACAUAAGGGGAACAGGAAAAUAAGAAUAUAUUGCAUCACUUACAAC